rfam:Phaethon lepturus contig17795, whole genome shotgun sequence.
UGCCAGAAAACUAUGAUGUGUUAUUUCCAAGCACAUAUCUGACUGCUUUUUGUGGAAACAUGAUUCUAAGUCAAUUGUGA